AAAAACAAGCACCAUCUUCAUACCUGCUGAAACCUAAUUCUCAUCCAGAGGGAUGUGAGGAAUAAAGGGGGCAGUGAUACCAACAGCGGGUGUAGACAGCCCAUCCAUCCCACGCAGGUUGUCUCUCUGACCCAGGUCUGACCACCAUACUAUUGCCUGCAGAUGAAGAGGAGCAACAUAUUCUUAGAAUAGCCUUCUAAGAAUUGCUCUGUGCCACCAAAUGGGUGGCAGACUUCUAGACAAGUUUUCUAAGGACUUACUGAAUGUAGCAGAGAUCGGAUUGGAUUGUCUCUAAUGUCUGUUUCAUGAAUAGAGUUCUGUAAAUAGU
rnacentral:lncRNA from 1 species